rnacentral:rRNA from 1 species
UUAGUUAUGAUCUUGAAAUUUAAAAAUUUUGGCGGUGUUUUAGUCUAUUUAGAGGAACCUGUUCUAUAAUUGAUAGUCCACGAUAAAUUAUACUUUAUUUAAUUAGUUUGUAUAUCGUCGUUAUUAAGUAUUUUAAAAGAAUAUAAAUGUUUAAUAUUUUUAAUAAAAUUAUAUUUCAGAUCAAGGUGCAGUUUAUAAUUAAGUGGAAAUGGGUUACAAUAAAUUUAUUUAUACGGAUUUAUUUAUGAAAAUGAUAAUGAAGGGGGAUUUAAUAGUAAUAAAAUUUAGAAAAAUUUUAUGAUUUUAGCUCUAAAAUAUGU